rfam:Macleaya cordata isolate BLH2017 scaffold1759, whole genome shotgun sequence.
GUUCCUAGUGAUGUUAAUCAAACCAUGCUAAUUCUGAGAUUCUUUUUAAUGAAUGAAUCUUAUUCUUAUCCAGAUCUACUGAGGGAACU